GGUAACAUAUAUACUAGUCUUGCUAGAAGAUGACGAGUGGCGGACGGGUGAGUAAUGCUUGGGAACUUGCCUUUGCGAGGGGGAUAACAGUUGGAAACGACUGCUAAUACCGCAUAAUGUCUUCGGACCAAACGGGGCUUCGGCUCCGGCGCAAAGAGAGGCCCAAGUGAGAUUAGCUAGUUGGUAAGGUAACGGCUUACCAAGGCGACGAUCUCUAGCUGUUCUGAGAGGAAGAUCAGCCACACUGGGACUGAGACACGGCCCAGACUCCUACGGGAGGCAGCAGUGGGGAAUAUUGCACAAUGGGGGAAACCCUGAUGCAGCCAUGCCGCGUGUGUGAAGAAGGCCUUCGGGUUGUAAAGCACUUUCAGUUGUGAGGAAAAGUUAGUAGUUAAUACCUGCUAGCCGUGACGUUAACAACAGAAGAAGCACCGGCUAACUCCGUGCCAGCAGCCGCGGUAAUACGGAGGGUGCGAGCGUUAAUCGGAAUUACUGGGCGUAAAGCGCACGCAGGCGGUUUGUUAAGCUAGAUGUGAAAGCCCCGGGCUCAACCUGGGAUGGUCAUUUAGAACUGGCAGACUAGAGUCUUGGAGAGGGGAGUGGAAUUCCAGGUGUAGCGGUGAAAUGCGUAGAUAUCUGGAGGAACAUCAGUGGCGAAGGCGACUCCUCUGGCCAAAACUGACGCUCAUGUGCGAAAGUGUGGGUAGCGAACAGGAAUUAGAUACUCCUGGUAGUCCACACUCGUAAACGCUGUCUACUAGCUGUGUGUG
rnacentral:rRNA from 1 species